GUCGCACGAGAAAGGGGCUUCGGCCCUGAGUAAAGUGGCGCACGGGUGAGUAACACGUGAAUCAUCUACCCUCGAGUGGGGAAUAACCUAGAGAAAUCUGGGCUAAUACCGCAUAACACUUACGAGUCAAAGCAGCAAUGCGCUUGGGGAGGAGUUCGCGGCCGAUUAGUUAGUUGGCGGGGUAAUGGCCCACCAAGACGAUGAUCGGUAUCCGGCCUGAGAGGGCGCACGGACACACUGGAACUGAAACACGGUCCAGACUCCUACGGGAGGCAGCAGUGGGGAAUUUUGCGCAAUGGGGGAAACCCUGACGCAGCAACGCCGCGUGGAGGAUGAAAUCCCUUGGGAUGUAAACUCCUUUCGAUUGGGAAGAUUAUGACGGUACCAAUAGAAGAAGCCCCGGCUAACUUCGUGCCAGCAGCCGCGGUAAUACGAGGGGGGCAAGCGUUGUUCGGAAUUAUUGGGCGUAAAGGGUGCGUAGGCGGUUUGACAAGUCUUAUGUGAAAUCUAUGGGCUCAACCCAUAGUCUGCAUGAGAAACUGUUGAGCUUGAGUAUGGGAGAGGUGAGUGGAAUUUCCGGUGUAGCGGUGAAAUGCGUAGAUAUCGGAAGGAACACCUGUGGCGAAAGCGGCUCACUGGACCAUAACUGACGCUGAGGCACGAAAGCUAGGGGAGCAAACAGGAUUAGAUACCCUGGUAGUCCUAGCCCUAAACGA
rnacentral:rRNA from 1 species